rnacentral:rRNA from 1 species
GACCGUGCAAAGGUAGCAUAAUAAUUUGCUUAUUAAUUGUAAGCGGGGAUGAUUGGUUUAACAAUUUUUAUAUUUCUUUAUUAUUAAAAUAAUUUGGUAAAAAGAUAAAAAAAUCUUUUUGGGUGUAAGGGACGAUAAGACCCUGAAAAUUUUAUUGGUUUAAGCUUUAUUGUUUAAAAUUUGAAAAAUUUUGCUGGGGUAGUGGUAGUUUUAAAUAACUAUGAGGUUUUACGCUUAUAGCGGUUAAAAGAUCCUUUAUAUAAGGAGUAGUAUAAAAAAUUACUUCAGGGGUAACAGGAUAAUAAAUUUUAAAAGAUCUUAUUUAUAAAUUUGAUUAUUACCUCGAUGUUGAAUUAAAAAUUCUAUUAAAAGCAAGCAUUUAAUAAGAUGGUUUGUUCAACCAUUAAAUUUUUACAUGA